CAUAUGCAUAUGUGUUAUGUGUGUGGUGUUCCGUCGCGAGUUUCAACAAAUUCGUCGUACUAGUCUCCGCAGUCUCAACUCAAAAGACUGACAGACAGUCAGUGUAGCAUAGCGUAUAGGAUCAGCCACAGCACAACAGUAUCCACAUCCAGAGCUGAAUCGGCCUGAGUUGACAGUGUGUAUAGUGGGACGGUUUUCUUCUUGUCCAAUUCCUGAGGGGAAUUUUUCGAGAGUGUAUAGGAAAGAAAAGUGAAUCGCUUGGAUGAGAAAACGGAAAAAAAUAAAUAAAUACAUAGAAAAUAAGCGAAAUCACAUCAGUUUUGUGUGUGAUUAAUAAUCGGUAGUGAAGGCAGCCCAACUAAACGAAUAAGCGGCGAAACCACGUGAAGAAAAAUAAGUAAGAAAGCAAGAAAAAGUUCAACACAUCGAGUGAGUCAGAGUGAGAUAAAUAUUCGCCGAAAAUAAGAAGAAAAAAGUGCACAUAGCACAGUGGUAGCAAUCUGUGCAGAGGAGAAAAUAAGAUCCAAUAAAUUAUCUGCGUGAUUUCGUUAUAAGGCCUUCUGGGAGUGGUGUGUAGCUUGUUUUCGCACAGGAAGAAGAAGAAGGCAACUACUUGAACCGGUGCCGGUCUCGGAUUUCCUCCCAUCAUCGCGCUAAGAGUGUCGCCGAGUGUCGUGGAGCAGUAGUAGCAGCAGCAGCAGUGGUUGGAAUCUUGUUGCUCCCCUGUGUGUUGUGUGGAGUGCGAAAACGGAUUUCUGCCACCACCCCACUGACUGGAGAAAAAACACCGGAAUCUACAACAACAACAACAACACC